UGUUUAAUCGGUUAUUAAGCAUCGAGUGUUAAAUAUGCUAGUCCUUUCAUGAUUAUGUGAUAGGUGGUGCAUGGCCGUUCUUAGUUCGUGGAGUGAUCUGUCUGCUUAAUUGCGUUUCACUAAGGGCCCAUAARUUCAAGGUAUGUUAGCUAUCGUCGCUCUAUGGACCCCUUAU
rnacentral:rRNA from 1 species